GACGAACGCUGGCGGCGUGCCUAAUACAUGCAAGUAGAACGCUGAAGGAGGAGCUUGCUCUUCUGGAUGAGUUGCGAACGGGUGAGUAACGCGUAGGUAACCUGCCUGGUAGCGGGGGAUAACUAUUGGAAACGAUAGCUAAUACCGCAUAACAGUAGAUGUUGCAUGACAUUUGCUUAAAAGGUGCAAUUGCAUCACUACCAGAUGGACCUGCGUUGUAUUAGCUAGUUGGUGGGGUAACGGCUCACCAAGGCGACGAUACAUAGCCGACCUGAGAGGGUGAUCGGCCACACUGGGACUGAGACACGGCCCAGACUCCUACGGGAGGCAGCAGUAGGGAAUCUUCGGCAAUGGACGGAAGUCUGACCGAGCAACGCCGCGUGAGUGAAGAAGGUUUUCGGAUCGUAAAGCUCUGUUGUAAGAGAAGAACGAGUGUGAGAGUGGAAAGUUCACACUGUGACGGUAUCUACCAGAAAGACG
rnacentral:rRNA from 1 species